rnacentral:rRNA from 1 species
UACGAAGGGGGCUAGCGUUGCUCGGAAUCACUGGGCGUAAAGGGUGCGUAGGCGGGUUCUUAAGUCAGAGGUGAAAUCCUGGAGCUCAACUCCAGAACUGCCUUUGAUACUGAGAGUCUUGAGUAUGACAGAGGUGAGUGGAACUGCGAGUGUAGAGGUGAAAUUCGUAGAUAUUCGCAAGAACACCAGUGGCGAAGGCGGCCCACUGGGUCAUUACUGACGCUGAGGCGCGAAAGCGUGGGGAGCAAACAGG